AGGCGAGGGUGGGGGAAGCUUCCGCGGCUGGUCGCUUUUUUCCGCUGCUGCUGGUUGGAUCGUUUCAAUAAAAGUCUUUUUUCUCCGCUCGCUCGCUCUCCUCCGGGGAACAGGCGGAGGCGUCAAUCCGCAGCCGCCGAGUGAGAGAGCGACGCACACGCAGCGAACGAAAGCGGCCGCCCGCGGUCUCCUGAGCUCCUCACGGUCCGGCAGCAGAGAAGAAGGAGCCCUCGUCCGAGCGGGCCGCCUCAGCCGGGCGUCGGCACCUCCCUGCCAGCCUCGCUCCCGCCCGGGCUCCUCCGAGGGGAUUAGUGGGCUGCCCUCGCGGCUCGGCGGCCCGGGAGCCAUGUUGUCCGGGGGGCUUGGCAACGUGUGAGGAACCCGCGGCCCCUCCCGAAGGCUCCGGACCCUAGGCGAGAGCCGGAAGGCGGCAGCGGAGGCCUGCGCCUCGGAGGCGCCUUGGGUCUGCCAGCCGCUGGGACCCGGACCUGCAUCCGGUCGCCGCGGGCGUCGGCGGAGCCGCUUACCCUCCGCGCCUCGCCUAGCGACGCGGCCCCCGCACUUGCUGGAUUUUUCAAGUCACAUUCAGUUGAUAGGAUGAAAAAAUUUAAGAGAAGGCUAUCCCUCACUCUUCGGGGAAGCCAAACUAUUGAUGAAUCAUUGUCUGAAUUGGCGGAACAAAUGACUAUUGAAGAAAAUAGCAGCAAGGAUAAUGAGCCUAUUGUGAAGAAUGGCAGGCCUCCAACCUCUCACAGUAUGCAUUCCUUCCUCCAUCAGUACACAGGGUCCUUCAAGAAGCCCCCAUUGCGGAGACCACAUAGCGUUAUUGGAGGAAGCCUUGGAUCCUUCAUGGCAAUGCCCAGAAAUGGAAGCAGAUUAGAUAUUGUUCAUGAAAAUCUAAAAAUGGGAUCAGAUGGUGAGAGUGACCAAGCUUCUGGGACAUCAUCUGAUGAAGUACAGUCACCUACAGGCGUUUGUCUUAGAAAUCGUAUACAUAGACGGAUCUCAAUGGAGGAUUUAAAUAAGCGGUUAUCACUGCCUGCAGAUAUCAGAAUACCUGAUGGAUAUCUUGAAAAAUUGCAGAUAAACAGUCCACCGUUUGAUCAACCAAUGAGCCGAAGGUCUCGUAGAGCUUCUUUAUCAGAAAUUGGGUUUGGAAAAAUGGAAACCUAUAUCAAAUUGGAAAAGCUUGGAGAGGGUACAUAUGCGACAGUAUAUAAAGGAAGAAGUAAAUUGACAGAGAAUUUGGUGGCAUUAAAAGAGAUCCGGUUGGAACAUGAAGAAGGUGCACCCUGCACAGCAAUAAGAGAAGUUUCACUAUUAAAGGAUCUAAAACAUGCAAAUAUAGUAACCUUACAUGAUAUUGUUCAUACAGAUAAAUCUUUGACUCUGGUUUUUGAGUAUCUGGAUAAAGACCUAAAACAGUACAUGGAUGACUGUGGAAACAUCAUGAGUAUGCACAAUGUAAAGCUGUUUUUGUACCAAAUUCUACGUGGUUUGGCAUAUUGCCACAGAAGAAAGGUAUUGCACCGAGACUUGAAACCACAGAACCUACUCAUUAAUGAAAAAGGAGAAUUAAAGCUAGCAGAUUUUGGGCUAGCCAGAGCCAAGUCAGUUCCCACGAAGACCUACUCCAAUGAAGUCGUCACUCUGUGGUACCGGCCACCUGAUGUGCUUCUCGGUUCUUCAGAGUACUCAACACAGAUUGACAUGUGGGGUGUUGGUUGCAUUUUCUUUGAAAUGGCUUCUGGAAGACCUCUGUUUCCAGGAUCAACUGUGGAAGAUGAACUGCACUUGAUUUUCCGACUGCUAGGAACACCAUCUCAGGAAACUUGGCCAGGUGUUUCUUCAAAUGAUGAGUUCAAGAACUACAACUUUCCAAAAUACAAACCACAGCCUCUCAUUAACCAUGCACCCAGGUUAGACUCUGAGGGAAUUGAGUUAAUAACAAAGUUUCUUCAGUACGAAUCUAAGAAAAGGGUUUCAGCAGAAGAGGCCAUGAAACAUGUAUACUUUCGAAGUCUGGGACCAAGAAUACAUACUUUACCUGAAAGUGUAUCAAUAUUCAGUUUGAAAGAGAUUCAGUUGCAAAAGGACCCGGGUUUUCGAAACUCUUCUUAUCCAGAGACAGGACAUGGGAAGAACAGAAGACAGAGCAUGCUCUUUUAAGUCUGAUAAAAUGGUUUCAAGCCCAGCCCCCAGCCUUUCUUAUCAAUCAAGGACUCAGAUCUGAAGGCAAUUAUUUCUUUUGGUGGACUUGGAAUCUCCGUUUGUCUACACUGUCCUCUUCACAGUGGAGUCUUUUUAUUUCAGACCUACAGAUUGUUUUUAUAUUUGUUGUCACAGUGUGACAAUUUUUUUGUACAGUUGGUUUUAAGGUCUUCUCUGCCAUUAGAGCCAGUAGGUUACAGCUGUUGAUGUAACUGUAGCUGCAAUUUUUGUGCAGGACUAGAAACACAGUGCAUUAUUUAUUGCGGAAUCAUUGCUGCUAAAUAACUACUGUCUGUUUAUUUAACACAACAGUUAAAUGCCUGAAGAAGUUGCAGUGGCUUUAUUAGAUGUGAAUGCAUCUGUUUCUCCUCACGAAUUGUUUUACUGCUGCAUUUCUUGUUUGUUUUAAAAAUUAAACUGCAGUGUUUCCUGGAAUGUAAAUUUAGCUUUGCUUAUUAACGGUAAAAUAAGUGAGCCAUCUUGAACACUCUAAGUUCAUGCUAUAUAAUUUUUUAUUGAACAUCCGCAAGUAGAGUAGCUAAGAAAUUGAUGAGCACAUGUUUAGGAAAGCAUGUGAUGCAGAAGUUGAUUCAAGCAAGUGAACACCUGACAUUAUAGGGAUCUCACAUUAGAUACCAGUAAAUUAAAGCACCAAAAUUAUUUAUUUUUACCUUUCCUCAUUUUAGAAAUAUUUACUGCAUAUUAUUGGAUAUGUGUAUACUAAUACACUUACCUAUUUUACAUUGUGCUUUAAUUUAGUUAAAACUAAACCAUACAAGUCUAUUGAAAUAUGUGAGGUCUUGUUUUUGUCUUAAAUACGAUUCUUUUAUUAGAAGGGAUGAUACUUCUUUGGGGAGCCAUUUAUUUCAUUUGGGGGGCUGCGUGUGUAUAUGUAUGUUUUAAUAACAUUCACUUGGAAUCAGCUAAAAGCUGUAAUAUGUCUUUGAAAUGAGCCAUGAUAAAUACAAAUGAGAGAAACAAGAACUUAGAGGAUUGUUUUAAAGCAUUGUAGGUAUUAAUGUGUUUAUCAGAGAUAGUAAAUAUUACAGUUUCAAUUAUGCAUCUCUUUGAACAUCAUAAACACACCUUGGUGUUGGUAAGUGUUUUAAGCAUUUGUGUUAACUUUUAGGGACUAUUUGUUCAUUUAGUGCAUCUUACGAACUACAAAUAUUAAUUGGUAUAUUUUGAAAUGGUCAUGUAAAUUUUUGGCUUAUAUAUCAUGAAAAUAAUCAUAACUUAAUUUUUUUUUCCUGAUAUUCACUGUAAAACAUUCAGGGGUCCUACCAUUUCUGUUCAGGAAAUCUUGUAGUUUAUUGUUAUUUAACAGUAUUAAGUGAAUUUUUGUAUAUUUCAUUUUAACUUUAUUUGUGAAUAGUGAUUGUGGCAUGUUUGGGUGUUAUUUUAAUAUUUCAUGAUACAGAAAUUUUAAUUUUUAAAAAAAAUUUUCUGGAAGAAACAGAUUCAUGUGUAAUGGUGAAUAUUGGACCACUACUGCUUUUCACAUUUGUAAAUUGGUUUUAUGUUAAAUCCUGUAGCCUAACAAACUGCUGUUAUUUCUAACAGACCUGUAUUAAUAUUGUACUUUGAAGGUUAUAAAUAUUAUGUGGAAAUUCCUCCAUUUUGUUUUGAAAUUUAUAAUAAGAUCUUCAUGUUGUUAAAAUGUGGUUUUGUUGAGUCAUAGUUCUUUCUGGGGGAAGAAGGCUGUGCAAAAUGGUAUCAUUUUCCUUUAUGGGUUUCAUUUUUAAGAUCAUGAAGUCUUACCGUGCCAGUAAUGAUAUUUAGUUUAUAUUUGUGCUGGCCAUUUAUUUAGUAAUCUCUAAUGUAAUUUUAUAGGAGAGUACUCAGUUAUAAAGCUGUCAGAUUUUUCAUUUCAUAGGUUAGAUAAAUGAUGUUUUGCAAAUUUCUUAUAGUUAUCUAUAAGUUUGAUAUUCUUGCAUAUAAAAGGUGAAGAAAUAUAUCCAGUAGUUAUAUAAAAUUCUUCUUCCUAGGAAGUCCUAGGGAUGUUUCUUCAUUUUAUUAAGGAAUUUGAUAUUUUUUUUGAUACUUGAGCACCACCAUUCAGAUCCUGAAAACUUUGCAAUGAAGAGAAUUGAAACUCAGAAAUUUUGAACCUUGAACACUUAGAAUUCAUCUUAAACUGACAUGGUUUUAAAGGCCUCCCUAUUCUCUGAGAUGCAGUACUGAAAUUAGGCCAAUUAAUAACCCUACAAUGGCCUUUAAUUAUUAAAGUGAAAGGAAGAGUCACACAUUUCUGAGAUUAAAUUAAAGCUAGAAAUAAUUUAAGCUUAGUCGGGAAGUCGUGUCAAAAGGCAACAUAGGCUGAAAGCUAGGCUUCUUGCUCCAGUCAGCCAAGCUGUCGAAUACAAAGGAACAGUUCUUGAAGGAAAUUAAAAGAGCUACUCCAAUGAACACAUAAAUGAUAGAGUGAAACAACCUUAUUGCUGAUACGGAGAAAGUUUUAUUGAUCUGGGUAGAAGAUCAAAUCAGCUACAACAUUUCCUUAAGCCAAAACCUAAUCCAGAACAAAGCCCUCUCUCUCUUCAGUUCUCUUAAAGAGGUGAAGAAGCUGCAGAAGAAAAGUUUGAAGCUAACAGAGGUUGGUUCAUGAUUUUAAAGGAAAGAAGAUGUCUGCAUAAAAUAAAAGUACAAGAUGAAGCAGCAAGUUAUCCAGAAGAUCUAGCUAAGAUAAUUAAUGAAAGUGGCUACAUUAAACAGAUUUUCAGUGUAGGCAAAAUAGCUUUCUCUUGGAAGAAGAUACCAUCUGGGUCUCUCAUAGCUAGAAAGGAGAAGUCAGGGCCUGGCUUCAGAGUUUCAAAAGAUGGACUAGGGUGCCUGGAUGGCUCAGUUGGUUGAGCAUCUGACUCUUGAUUUUUGGCUCAUGAUCUCCGGGUUGUGGGAUCAAGCCCUGCGUUGGCCUCCACACUUGGCGGAGAGUCUCCUUCCCUCUCCCUCUCUUUCUCCCCCCCGCCGAAAUAAAUAAAUCUUUAAAAAAGACUCCUUAUUAGACACUAAUGCAGUUGAUGACUGUAAGUUGAAGCCAGUGCUCAUUGACCAUACUGAAAACCCUAAGGCCCUUAAGAAUUAUGCUAAAUCUACUCUCCCUGUGCUCUGUCAGUGAAACAACAAAGCCUGGAUGAGAGCACAUCUCUAUAUAGCAUGAUUUACUGAAUAUUUUAAGCCUACUGUUCAGGAAAAAGGUUUUCAAAAUACUAUUAUUGUUCAUUGACAAUGCACCUGAUCACCCAGGAGCUCUGAUGGAGAUGGACAACCAAGAUUAAUCUUGUUUUCAUGCCUGCUAACACAACAUCUGCUCUGGAGCCCAUUGAUCAAAGAGUAGUUUUGACUUUCAAGUCUUAUUCUUUAAGAAAUACAUUUCAUGGGGCACCUGGGUGGCUCAGUCGUUAAGCAUCUGCCUUCGGCUCAGGUCAUGAUCCCAGAGUCCUGGGAUCAAGCCCGUAUCGGGCUCCCUGCUCAGCAGGGAGUCUGCUUCUCCCUCUCCCUCUCUCAAAUAAGUAAAAUCUUAAAAAACAAAAAUACAUCUCAAAAGCUAUAGUUGCCAUAGUAGUGAUUCCUCUGAUAGAUCUGGGCAAAGUAAAUUGAAAACCUUCUGGAAAGGAUUCACCAUUCUAGGUGCCACUAAGAACAUGUAUGAUUCAUGGGAAGAGGCCAAAAUAUCAACAUUAACAGGAAUUUGAUAGAAGCUAAUUCCAAGACUUGAGCAGAAGUAACUGCUGUGGUGGAAAUAGUAAGAGAACUAGAAUUAGAAGUGGAGCCUGAAGAUGUGAUGAAUUGCUGCAAUUUCAUGAUAAAACUUGUAAUGAUAAGAAGUUGCUUCUUAUGGAUGAGCAAAGGGGUUUCUUGAGAUGGAAUCUACUCCUGGUAAAGAUGCUGUGAAGAUUGUUGAAGUGACAGCAAAAGAUUUAGAAUAUCACAUAAAUAAAUUUAGUUGAUGAAGCAAUAUCAGGGUUUAAGAUGACUCCAAUUUGAAAGAAGUUCUGUGGGUAAAUUGCUAUCAAAUAGCAUGAAAGGACUCUUCCAUCAUUUCCGCAGACUUUGUUGUCUUAUUUUAAGAAAUUUCCACAGCCACUCCAGCCUUCAGCAACUACUACCCUGAUCAGUCAGCAGCUAUCAACAUCAAGGCAAGACCCUCCACCAGCAAAAGGACUGUUGACACACCAAAAGCUCAGACGGGUUAGCAUUUUUUUAACAAUAAAGAAUUUUUUUUUUCCACAAAAGUAUGUACUUUUUCUUAGUGUUAUUGCACACUUAAUAGACUGCAGUAUAGCAUAAACAUAAUUUUUACAUGCACUAGGAAACCAAAAAAUU